rnacentral:lncRNA from 1 species
CAACAUUGAGCAACAACCAACAGAUACUUCAUCAACAUCAUCAAUACUUGAACAAGUGGAAAUUACAGAAAGUGACUUAACCGAAGAUCAACUAGACAGAGGGAUAGAAUUCAUCAAAUCAUUUGAAGAUAUAUUUGCCAAGAAUGAUGAAGAUAUUGGAAAUACCGAAGUGAAACACCAUAUUGAUUUGAUUGAUACAAGACCAUUCAAACAACGAUAUAGAAGAACUCCACCAGCUAUGUACGAUGAAGUUAAGUCGCAUCUUCGACAACUAUUGUCAAAUGGUACCAUCAGACCAUCACACAGUCCAUAUGCAUCUAACGUGGUACUAGUACGUAAGAAGAAUGGGAAACUGAGACUGUGUGUUGAUUACCGUCAAUUAAACAACCUGACAAUAAAGGACAGCUACGCAUUACCAAGAAUAGAAGAUCUGCUCGAUUCGCUAGCUGGAAGUACGUUUUUUACCUGCGUAGAUAUGAAAAGUGGAUACCAUCAGGUAGAGAUCCUUGAAGAGC